rnacentral:rRNA from 1 species
CUUGGUGAUUUGAGCGACGAGGUCACACCCGGUCCCAUUCCGAACCCGGCAGUUAAGCUCGUCAGCGCCGAUGGUAGUGUGCGGGCGACUGCAUGCAAGAGUAGGUCAUUGCCAGGG